rnacentral:rRNA from 1 species
GAUGAACGCUGGCGGCGUGCCUAAUACAUGCAAGUCGAGCGAACGGACGAGAAGCUUGCUUUUCUGAUGUUAGCGGCGGACGGGUGAGUAACACGUGGAUAACCUACCUAUAAGACUGGGAUAACUUCGGGAAACCGGAGCUAAUACCGGAUAAUAUUUUGAACCGCAUGGUUCAAAAGUGAAAGACGGUCUUGCUGUCACUUAUAGAUGGAUCCGCGCUGCAUUAGCUAGUUGGUAAGGUAACGGCUUACCAAGGCAACGAUGCAUAGCCGACCUGAGAGGGUGAUCGGCCACACUGGAACUGAGACACGGUCCAGACUCCUACGGGAGGCAGCAGUAGGGAAUCUUCCGCAAUGGGCGAAAGCCUGACGGAGCAACGCCGCGUGAGUGAUGAAGGUCUUCGGAUCGUAAAACUCUGUUAUUAGGGAAGAACAUAUGUGUAAGUAACUGUGCACAUCUUGACGGUACCUAAUCAGAAAGACACGGCUAACUACGUG